GCCUGGGUGGCUCAGUUGGUUGAGCGUCUGACUUCGGCUCAGGUCGUGAUCUCGCGGUCCAUGAGUUCGAGCCCCACGUCGGGCU
rnacentral:tRNA from 1 species